rnacentral:rRNA from 1 species
AUCAACUUUCGAUGGUAGGAUAGAGGCCUACCAUGGUGGUAACGGGUAACGGGGUGUUAGAGCACGACACCGGAGAGGGAGCCUGAGAAACGGCUACCACAUCCAAGGAUGGCAGCAGGCGCGCAAAUUACCCAAUCCCGACACGGGGAGGUAGUGACAAUAAAUAACAAUACGGGGUUCUUUCGGAUUUCGUAAUUGGAAUGAGUACAAUUUAAAUCUCUUAACGAGGAACAAUUGGAGGGCAAGUCUGGUGCCAGCAGCCGCGGUAAUUCCAGCUCCAAUAGCGUAUAUUAAAGUUGCUGCAGUUAAAAAGCUCGUAGUUGAAUUUCGGGACCAAUAUGUCGGUCGUGCCUCGGUACGUACUGGCAUCGUUGGUUUCUCCCUUCUGACGAACCAUGAUGUCAUUUAUUUGGUGUCGUGGGGAAUCAGGACUGUUACUUUGAAAAAAUUAGAGUGUUUAAAGCAGGCUCACGCUUGAAUACAUUAGCAUGGAAUAAUGAAAUAGGACGUUUGAUUCUAUUUUGUUGGUUUCUAGGAUCGACGUAAUGAUUAAUAGGGAUAGUUGGGGGCAUUAGUAUUCAAUUGUCAGAGGUGAAAUUCUUGGAUUUAUUGAAGACUAACUACUGCGAAAGCAUUUGCCAAGGAUGUUUUCAUUAAUCAAGAACGAAAGUUAGGGGAUCGAAGACGAUCAGAUACCGUCGUAGUCUUAACCAUAAACUAUGCCGACUAGGGAUCGGAUGAUGUUAAUUUUUUAAUGACUCAUUCGGCGCCUUACGGGAAACCAAAGUGUUUGGGUUC